rnacentral:rRNA from 1 species
GAGCGCAGGCGGGAAGACAAGUUGGAAGUGAAAUCUAUGGGCUCAACCCAUAAACUGCUUUCAAAACUGUUUUUCUUGAGUAGUGCAGAGGUAGGCGGAAUUCCCGGUGUAGCGGUGGAAUGCGUAGAUAUCGGGAGGAACACCAGUGGCGAAGGCGGCCUACUGGGCACCAACUGACGCUGAGGCUCGAAAGUGUGGGUAGCAAACA